CACGUAGGGUGCGAGCGUUGUCCGGAAUUAUUGGGCGUAAAGAGCUCGUAGGCGGUGUGUCGCGUCGGCCGUGAAAACUUGCAGCUUAACUGUGGGCGUGCGGUCGAUACGGGCAUCACUGGAGUUCGGCAGGGGAGACUGGAAUUCCUGGUGUAGCGGUGAAAUGCGCAGAUAUCAGGAGGAACACCGGUGGCGAAGGCGGCGCACUGGCCCGAUACUGACGCUGAGGCACGAAAGCGUGGGGAGCAAACAGG
rnacentral:rRNA from 1 species